rnacentral:rRNA from 2 species
AGCGAAUGCUUUGGGGUGGGGUGACUGCGUACCUUUUGUAUAAUGGGUCAGCGACUUAUAUUCUGUAGCAAGGUUAACCGAAUAGGGGAGCCGGAGGGAAACCGAGUCUUAAUUGGGCGUUAAGUUGCAGGGUAUAGACCCGAAACCCGGUGAUCUAGCCAUGGGCAGGUUGAAGGUUGGGUAACACUAACUGGAGGACCGAACCGACUAAUGUUGAAAAAUUAGCGGAUGACCUGUGGCUGGGGGUGAAAGGCCAAUCAAACCGGGAGAUAGCUGGUUCUCCCCGAAAGCUAUUUAGGUAGCGCCUCGUGAAUUCAUCUCCGGGGGUAGAGCACUGUUUCGGCUAGGGGGCCAUCCCGGCUUACCAACCCGAUGCAAACUGCGAAUACCGGAGAAUGUUAUCACGGGAGACACACGGCGGGUGCUAACGUCCGUCGUGAAGAGGGAAACAACCCAGACCGCCAGCUAAGGUCCCAAAGUCAUGGUUAAGUGGGAAACGAUGUGGGAAGGCCCAGACAGCCAGGAUGUUGGCUUAGAAGCAGCCAUCAUUUAAAGAAAGCGUAAUAGCUCACUGGUCGAGUCGGCCUGCGCGGAAGAUGUAACGGGGCUAAACCAUGCACCGAAGCUGCGGCAGCGACACUGUGUGUUGUUGGGUAGGGGAGCGUUCUGUAAGCCUGUGAAGGUGUGUCGUGAGGCAUGCUGGAGGUAUCAGAAGUGCGAAUGCUGACAUAAGUAACGAUAAAGCGGGUGAAAAGCCCGCUCGCCGGAAGACCAAGGGUUCCUGUCCAACGUUAAUCGGGGCAGGGUGAGUCGACCCCUAAGGCGAGGCCGAAAGGCGUAGUCGAUGGGAAACGGGUUAAUAUUCCCGUACUUGGUGUUACUGCGAAGGGGGGACGGAGAAGGCUAUGUUGGCCGGG